CGCGGUAAUUCCAGCUCUCCUAGUGUAUCUCGUUAUUGCUGCGGUUAAAAAGCUCGUAGUUGGAUCUAGGUUACGUGCCGCAGUUCGCAAUUUGCGUUAACUGUGGUCGUGACUUCUAAUUUGCUGGUUUGAGGUUGGGUUCGCCCUUCAACUGCCAGCAGGUUUACCUUGAAUAAAUCAGAGUGCUCAAUACAGGCGCUUGCUUGAAUAGCUCAUCAUGGAAUAAUGAAACAGGACUUCGGUUCUUUUUGUUGGUUCUAGAAUUGAUCUAAUGGUUAAGAGGGACAAACCGGGGGCAUUCGUAUCAUUACGCGAGAGGUGAAAUUCGUGGACCGUAGUGAGACGCCCAAUAGCGAAAGCAUUUGCCAAGAAUGUCUUCAUUAAUCAAGAACGAAAGUCAGAGGUUCGAAGGCGAUUAGAUACCGCCCUAGUUCUGACCGUAAACGAUGCCAUCUCGCGAUUCGGAGGGUUCAUGCCCUACCGAGGAGCUACCCGGAAAACGAAAGUCUUUCGGUUCCGGGGGUAGUAUGGUUGCAAAGCUGAAACUUAAAGAAAUUGACGGAAGGGCACCCCAAGGCGUGGAGCUUGCGGCUUAAUUUGACUCAACACGGGAAAACUCACCCGGUCCGGACACUAUUAGGACUGACAGAUUGAAAGCUCUUUCUCGAUUUGGUGGUUGGUGGUGCAUGGCCGUUCUUAGUUGGUGGAGUGAUUUGUCUGGUUUAUUCCGAUAACGAGCGAGACUCUAGCCUGCUAAAUAGUCGACGAAUCUUCGGGUUCGUAUAACUUCUUAGAGGGAUAAGCGGUGUUUAGCCGCACGAGAUUGAGCGAUAACAGGUCUGUGAUGCCCUUAGAUGUCCGGGGCUGCACGCGUGCUACACUGGUGGAGUCAGCGGGUUUUUCCUAUGCCGAAAGGUAUCGGUAAACCGUUGAACUUCUUCCAUGUCCGGGAUAGGGUAUUGUAAUUAUUACCCUUAAACGAGGAAUGCCUAGUAAGUGUGAGUCAUCAGCUCACGUUGAUUACGUCCCUGCCCUUUGUACACACCGCCCGUCGCUAUCCGGGACUGAACUGAUUCGAGAAGAGUGGGGACUGUGGCUGCGAGGUUUUACCACUUCGCAGUUGCGGAAACCAUUUUUAUCGCAUUGGUUUGAACCGGGUAAAAGUCGUAACAAGGUAGCUGUAGGUGAACCUGCAGCUGGAUCAUCG
rfam:Caenorhabditis japonica strain DF5081 Contig6874.1, whole genome shotgun sequence.